UCGUUAGGAGGGUUAAUCCUGACCUGUUCCUCCUUCGGGAGGGCAGAUUGGAACGUGAUGAUUGGAGUUCGCAUGACACGUGAUUAGCGUUCUGCGUAAUCGGGACCUGCAACAUCCUGGUUACUCCUAUCUGAU
rnacentral:snoRNA from 15 species